rnacentral:rRNA from 1 species
AAACGCUGGCGGCGUGCUUAACACAUGCAAGUCGAACGGAGAUAGGAAGAGCUUGCUCUUCCGAAUCUUAGUGGCGGACGGGUGAGUAACGCGUGAGCAACCUGCCUUUCAGAGGGGGACAACGUUUGGAAACGAACGCUAAUACCGCAUAAGAUCGUAGGGCCACAUGGUCCAGCGACCAAAGGAGCAAUCCGCUGAAAGAUGGGCUCGCGUCUGAUUAGAUAGUUGGUGGGGUAACGGCCUACCAAGUCGACGAUCAGUAGCCGGACUGAGAGGUUGAACGGCCACAUUGGGACUGAGAUACGGCCCAGACUCCUACGGGAGGCAGCAGUGGGGAAUAUUGCACAAUGGGGGAAACCCUGAUGCAGCAACGCCGCGUGAAGGAUGACGGUUUUCGGAUUGUAAACUUCUGUUCUCGUUGACGAAGACAGUGACGGUAAACGAGGAGCAAGCCACGGCUAACUACGUGCCAGCAGCCGCGGUAA